UCUAGAAGGUUAUUGCUAUAAUUAUGCUUGGUUAACACUAAAUUUCAAACUAAAAUGUGUAUGUAGUCAAACAAGAAAAUGUUUACUAAAUAUUCUUCUGAAUAUUCAAUAAAGGGUAGACGAGAGACCUGUUCAGUGUAACAAAAAUCAGUAAGUAACUACUUGGUAAAAAUAGUUGUGACACCAGAUGAAAUCUGUGUAGCCUUUGGAAGAUUCGUGAAAUGUGUAAUAUAUGUACAGACAAAUUUUUUUGACCCAUGGCCAGUAAAUGAAAGUGCUGGCCAUUCGUCAUUUUAUAAUUGCUGAACAUGUACUCCGUUAUCCAGAUGUCAAUAUCUGAGAAACCUAGGACUAAUCAAUGCAAUUGUUAUUCAAUAUUCAAAUGAGUCAGGAGUCAUAAUAUUAGAUGAGUAACUACAUCGAUUUUGCCACAUAUGUGACUUAACAGUUAACAUGUGGCUUAGAAAACACAUAUACCACAGGAUAUUUGAGUUUUGCCGGGCCGUUCAGAAACAAUCCGGUGGUUUCGUCCAACUUAGUGAUGGAAAUUUCGUUUCCAUUUCCCCAGUUAAAAAACCUGAACUAUUUUGGGUAGACGUUUAAUGUUGGAGAUAUGUAUUUGUUUGUUAUCUUUGUUAGUUAUUAUUUUAUUAUUAGGGUCAUAAUCUUUAAUUUGGUCAGAUGGAUUGAAUUUAUUAGACCCUUUGUUCCUUUGAAUUGAUUUUGAAUAUUUUCUAUUUCUUCACGGUUCUUAUUAGCUUUGGAUAUUACUUUUUCUUUUUGUUCCAUUAAUAUAUUAUUUAAAUAUUCAUAUAAAUUCUGUGUUGUGUCUAUGUUUU